CAAAGUAAGAUUUUCUGUGCCAACCUUCUUGUUUGACUGGUGAUCGAUAAGUGCGAAAAAAAUGACACAUUAUAGAGAGAACCCGGGAAACUGAACUGCGAAAGCUUUUUGGGAGGACAGCUAACGCUGCCGAUUUGUCAUGGAAAAACCGUUUCCGACACGCAGGUACCCGAUCAGAAGGAAAUAACAAGAUUAUAAAAGAACACAAUUUUUGUAACAUAUUGUGUUAUAAAUUAGGUAUCGUUAAAAGAAAAGAAAAUUGUUCAUAGAAGAAAUCUCAAUAUGAAGCAUUGAUGAAGAAUACGGGGGGAGAUGUUUUUAGAGAGCUUCUAGCUUACCCGGACAAAGGAUGAUUAUUGAAAGUAACUCAGGCAACAGAUGAAUCGGAUUACAUGUUUGUUAAGGUACCUAAAGGAAUAGGAAGUGCAACGGUCACAGGAAGAAGAUCCAACAACCCAAGUGGCAAAAGAAAGGUAACAUCAAUGGAAGGACCGGCUCAACUCUAAGUAUCGAAUCCUCCGGAUAAAUUAGACCCGGAAAAAGUUGAAUAAAUGAAAGACCGACUUUCCGAGAACAGGAUCUUAAUGAAUGAUCCUCGAGGCACUGCAGUAAAAAUUGCGAAAAAAGUUCCACAAUUCAUCGCAAUCGUUGACGCGAACAACCCAGCCCUCCGAUCAGGACCCUAAGUUUCUUCAUAUCUAGCAUAUUUAGCUUAUUAAUUUAUGGAAUUAAAUGCAAUGUUGCUGCACAUAUUUUCGAUCAGAUAAUGCUAAAUUCUGGCUAAUCUGUGCAGCAUCAA